GAUAGCCAUGCAUGUCUCAGUACAAGCCACAAAAUAAGGUGAAACCGCGAAAGGCUCAUUAAAUCAGUUAUGGUUCCUUGGGUCGUACUAUUUAUACUUGGAUAACUGUGGUAAUUCUAGAGCUAAUACAUGCAAACAGAGUUCCAACCGGAGACGGGAGGAACGCUUUUAUUAGAACAAAACCAAUCGGUGUCGUAGCUCACGCUCGUCAUCGUACAACUUGGUGAAGCUGAAUAACUUAUUGCUGAUCGCACGGUCUCGCACCGGCGACGCAUCUUUCAAAUGUCUGACUUAUCAACUGUCGAUGGUAGGCUCUGCGCCUACCAUGGUUAUUACGGGUAACGGGGAAUCAGGGUUCGAUUCCGGAGAGGGAGCCUGAGAAACGGCUACCACAUCCAAGGAAGGCAGCAGGCGCGCAAAUUACCCACUCCCGGCACGGGGAGGUAGUGACGAAAAAUAACGAUACGGGACUCAUCCGAGGCCCCGUAAUCGGAAUGAGUACACUCUAAAUUCUUUAACGAGGAUCAAUUGGAGGGCAAGUCUAGUGCCAGCAGCCGCGGUAAUUCUAGCUCCAAUAGCGUAUAUUAAAGUUGUUGCGGUUAAAAAGCUCGUAGUCGAAUCUGUGUCCCGCGCCGCCGGUUCAUCGCUCGCGGUGUCCAACUGGCGUGUCGCGGGACGUCCUGCCGGUGAGCUUAGCCCGCGAGGGCGGCUCAACUUGAAAUCCCAUCGCGGUGCUCUUCACUGAGUGUCGAGGUGGGCCGGCACGUUUACUUUGAACAAAUUAGAGUGCUUAAAGCAGGCUAAAACUUCGCCUGAAUAUUCUGUGCAUGGAAUAAUGGAAUAGGACCUCGGUUCUAUUUUGUUGGUUUUCGGAACCCCCGAGGUAAUGAUUAAAUAGGAAACGGAUGGGGGGCAUUCGUAUUGCGACGUUAGAGGUGAAAUUUCUUGGAUCGUCGCAAGACGGACAGAAGCGAAAGCAUUUGCCAAAAACGCUUUUCAUUGAUCACGAACCGAAAGUUAGAGGUU
rnacentral:rRNA from 1 species